UCAUGGGAAAUACGUACCUCUGCACACUUUUUUGCAGCGCCACAAAUAUGUACCAAUAGGCACGUAUUGCUACAGUUUUGAAAAACAAACGUCCACUGGGGUCGCUAAAGAGAAGAACUCCAUAUGACAUUACAUUAGGAGUUGCAUUUCAUUACAUCGCGAGAUUUAACAACGCAUUGGUGUGCCACUCUGGGUGGCUCCGGCACACUCGUGGCUACGCCGCGCCGUGACCCAAAUCUCAUUCGCACAUCAUCGCGAUAUUUAUCAUCAAUUUACAAAUGUCAUCACAUCUCGUUUCUUCACAUACAUCUCAUACUCCUCCAUCUACACGCUCCACAACAUUUUAACCAACGGCUCUUUUAAGAGCCAUCACUUGCAAAAGCUUUCCUACUCACUCACUCACUCACUCACUCACUCACUCACUCUCUCUCCUACUCACUCACUCACUCACUCACUCACUCUCUCUCCUACUCACUCACUCACUCACUCACUCACUCACUCACUCACUCACUCACUCUCUCUCCUACUCACUCACUCACUCACUCACCCUCCAACUCACUCACUCACUCUCCUACUCACUCACUCACUCACUCUCUCUCCUACUCACUCACUCACUCACUCACUCACUCUCUCUCCUACUCACUCACUCACUCACUCACUCACCCUCCAACUCACUCACUCUCUCUCCUACUCACUCACUCACUCACUCACUCACUCACUCUCUCUCCUACUCACUCACUCACUCACUCACUCACUCACUCACUCACUCACUCACUCACUCUCUCUCCUACUCACUCACUCACUCACUCACUCACUCACUCACUCACCCUCCAACUCACUCACUCACUCUCCUAUAGGGAUGUGCAAAAAAAGCGAUUCUCAUGCGUGUUUCAUCAGUAAA